rnacentral:rRNA from 1 species
AGCUCCAAUAGCGUAUAUUUAAGUUGUUGCAGUUAAAAAGCUCGUAGUUGGAUUUCGGGUGUGGGGCGCCGGUCCGCUUCGGUGUGCACUGGCGGCCCAGGCCUUCUUGUCGGGGAUGCGCUCUGGUAUUGAUUUAUCGGACGCAGAGUCGGCGCAGUUACUUUGAAAAAUUAGAGUGUUCAAAGCAGGCUUUCGCUUGAAUACAUUAGCAUGGAAUAACAUGAUAGGACUCCGAUCCCAUUGUGUUGGUCUUCGGGACUGGAGUAAUGAUUAAGAGGGACAGUUGGGGGCAUUCGUAUUUCAUUGUCAGAGGUGAAAUUCUUGGAUUUAUGAAAGACGAACUUCUGCGAAAGCAUUUGCCAAGGAUGUUUUCAUUAAUCAAGAACGAAAGU